UACGUAGGGUGCAAGCGUUGUCCGGAUUUACUGGGUUUAAAGGGUGCGUAGGCGGUUUGAUCAGUCGGUGAUGAAAUGCAGGAGCUCAACUCCUCGCGCUGUUACCGAUACUGUCAGACUUGAGGAUGAGCGAGGUAGCUGGAAUGAGUGGUGUAGCGGUGAAAUGCGUAGAGAUCACUCAGAACACCAAUUGCGAAGGCAGGUUACUGGCUCAUAUCUGACGCUGAGGCACGAAGGCGUGGGGAUCAAACAGGAUUAGAUACCCUGGUAGUCCACGCAGUAAACGAUGGAUACUCGAUGUUGGGGCUUCGGCUUCAGUGUCUAAGCGAAAGUGAUAAGUAUCCCACCUGGGAAGUACGCUCGCAAGAGUGAA
rnacentral:rRNA from 1 species